AUGAAGCAUUGGUUCCUUGUUUUGACACUGAUCCAGAGCUUCAUAUGUCAAGGUCUACCAGAAGCAGAGUUUCAUGAGCCAGGUGAGAAGACUAUCGAGGAAAGCAGCGGUCACAGCGGUCUUGUGAAGAAGGCAGUUAAGAAAAGAACGGCCCAGCCUUCUGAUGGUGUUCCAAAGAUGAAGAGGAUCAAGAUGGACCGAAAAUAUGAUGCUCUGUACCAGCAGUAUGUGAUGAGUAGGUACAAAAUAGCAAGAGCAAAGAAAGAUCAAGUAAUAGGGUUUCCACACAUCACUUCACAACUUCCAUGCUUCAUUAAAGCCAUGAGCUGA
rnacentral:rRNA from 1 species